AUAAGCGGAGGAAAAGAAACUAACAAGGAUUCCCCUAGUAACGGCGAGUGAAGCGGGAAGAGCUCAAAUUUGAAAUCUGGUAGCCUUCGGCUGCCCGAGUUGUAAUCUAGAGAAGUGUUUUCCGUGCCGGCCCAUGUACAAGUCCCUUGGAACAGGGCGUCAUAGAGGGUGAGAAUCCCGUCCUUGACAUGGACCCCCGGUGCUUUGUGAUACACUUUCAACGAGUCGAGUUGUUUGGGAAUGCAGCUCAAAAUGGGUGGUGAAUUCCAUCUAAAGCUAAAUAUUGGCGAGAGACCGAUAGCGAACAAGUACCGUGAGGGAAAGAUGAAAAGCACUUUGGAAAGAGAGUUAAACAGUACGUGAAAUUGUUGAAAGGGAAACGAUUGAAGUCAGUCAUGCUCUUUGGAUUCAGCCGUUCUGCGGUGUAUUUCCAUUGAGUGGGGUCAACAUCAGUUUUGACCGCUGGAUAAAGGCACUAGGAAGGUAGCACUCUCGGGUGAACUUAUAGCCUAGCGUCAUAUACAGUGGUUGGGACUGAGGAACGCAGCAUGCCUUUAUGGCCGGGAUUCGUCCACGUACAUGCUUAGGAUGUUGACAUAAUGGCUUUAAACGACCC
rnacentral:rRNA from 1 species